GUGAACGCUGGCGGUAGGCCUAACACAUGCAAGUCGAACGGCAGCACAGUAAGAGCUUGCUCUUACGGGUGGCGAGUGGCGGACGGGUGAGGAAUACAUCGGAAUCUACUUUUUCGUGGGGGAUAACGUAGGGAAACUUACGCUAAUACCGCAUACGACCUACGGGUGAAAGCAGGGGAUCUUCGGACCUUGCGCGAUUGAAUGAGCCGAUGUCGGAUUAGCUAGUUGGCGGGGUAAAGGCCCACCAAGGCGACGAUCCGUAGCUGGUCUGAGAGGAUGAUCAGCCAAACUGGAACUGAGACAAGGGCCAGACUCCUAAGGGAGGGAGCAGUGGGGAAUAUUUGACAAUGGGCGCAAGCCUGAUCCAGCCAUACCGCGGGGGGGAAGAAGGCCUUCGGGUUGUAAAGCCCUUUUGUUGGGAAAGAAAAGCAGCAGGUUAAAAACCCGCUGGUCUGAAGGUACCCAAAGAAUAAGCACCGGCUAACUUCGUG
rnacentral:rRNA from 1 species